rnacentral:rRNA from 1 species
GAUGAACGCUGGCGGCGUGCCUAAUACAUGCAAGUCGAGCGAACGGACGAGAAGCUUGCUUUUCUGAUGUUAGCGGCGGACGGGUGAGUAACACGUGGAUAACCUACCUAUAAGACUGGGAUAACUUCGGGAAACCGGAGCUAAUACCGGAUAAUAUUUUGAACCGCAUGGUUCAAAAGUGAAAGACGGUCUUGCUGUCACUUAUAGAUGGAUCCGCGCUGCAUUAGCUAGUUGGUAAGGUAACGGCUUACCAAGGCAACGAUGCAUAGCCGACCUGAGAGGGGGAUCGGCCCACCUGGAACUGAGACACGGGCCAAACCCCUACGGGAGGCAGCAGUAGGGAAUCUUCCGCAAUGGGCGAAAGCCUGACGGAGCAACGCCGCGUGAGUGAUGAAGGUUUUCGGAUCGUAAAACUCUGUUAUUAGGGAAGAACAUAUGUGUAAGUAACUGUGCACAUCUUGACGGUACUUAAUCAGAAAGCCACGGCUAACUACGU